rnacentral:rRNA from 1 species
AAAUACGGCCAUACCAACCUGGCUAUGCCCUAUUUCGUCUGAUCUCGGAAGCUAAGCAGGUUUGGGCCUUGGUUAGUACUUGGAUGGGAGACGCCUGGGAAUACCAGGUGCUUUAAGCU